rnacentral:rRNA from 1 species
ACGUGCGGUCCUAUUUUGUUGGUUUCUAGGAUCGCCGUAAUGAUUAAUAGGGAUAGUUGGGGGCAUUCGUAUUCAAUUGUCAGAGGUGAAAUUCUUGGAUUUAUUGAAGACGAACUAUUGCGAAAGCAUUUGCCAAGGAUGUUUUCAUUGAUCAAGAACGAAGGUUAGGGGAUCGAAAACGAUCAGAUACCGUUGUAGUCUUAACAGUAAACUAUGCCGACUAGGGAUCGGACGAGAUUUUUUAAUGACUCGUUCGGCACCUGAAGAGAAAUCUUUAAGUCUAGGUUCGGGGGGGAGUAUGGUCGCAAGGCUGAAACUUAAAGGAAUUGACGGAAGGGCACCACCAGGUGUGGAGCCUGCGGCUUAAUUGACCCAACGACGGGGAAACUCGACCAGGUCCAGGACACGACAAGGAUUGACAGAUUGAUAGCUCUUUCUUGAUUUCGUGGUUGGUGGUGCAUGGCCGUUCUUAGUUGGGGGAGU